CUUGCUAGAAGUGGAUUAGUGGCGCACGGCGUGAGUAAGGUAUAGUUAAUCUGCCCUACACAAGAGGACAACAGUUGGAAACGACUGCUAAUACUCUAUACUCCUGCUUAACACAAGUUGAGUAGGGAAAGUUUUUCGGUGUAGGAUGAGACUAUAUAGUAUCAGCUAGUUGGUAAGGUAAUGGCUUACCAAGGCUAUGACGCUUAACUGGUCUGAGAGGAUGAUCAGUCACACUGGAACUGAGACACGGUCCAGACUCCUACGGGAGGCAGCAGUAGGGAAUAUUGCGCAAUGGGGGAAACCCUGACGCAGCAACGCCGCGUGGAGGAUGACACUUUUCGGAGCGUAAACUCCUUUUCUUAGGGAAGAAUUCUGACGGUACCUAAGGAAUAAGCACCGGCUAACUCCGUGCCAGCAGCCGCGGUAAUACGGAGGGUGCAAGCGUUACUCGGAAUCACUGGGCGUAAAGGGCGCGUAGGCGGAUUAUCAAGUCUCUUGUGAAAUCUAAUGGCUUAACCAUUAAACUGCUUGGGAAACUGAUAGUCUAGAGUGAGGGAGAGGCAGAUGGAAUUGGUGGUGUAGGGGUAAAAUCCGUAGAUAUCACCAAGAAUACCCAUUGCGAAGGCGAUCUGCUGGAACUCAACUGACGCUAAGGCGCGAAAGCGUGGGGAGCAAACAGGAUUAGAUACCCUGGUAGUCCACGCCCUAAACGAUGUACACUAGUUGUUGGGGUGCUAGUCAUCUCAGUAAUGCAGCUAACGCAUUAAGUGUACCGCCUGGGGAGUACGGUCGCAAGAUUAAAACUCAAAGGAAUAGACGGGGACCCGCACAAGCGGUGGAGCAUGUGGUUUAAUUCGAAGAUACGCGAAGAACCUUACCUGGGCUUGAUAUCCUAAGAACCUUUUAGAGAUAAGAGGGUGCUAGCUUGCUAGAACUUAGAGACAGGUGCUGCACGGCUGUCGUCAGCUCGUGUCGUGAGAUGUUGGGUUAAGUCCCGCAACGAGCGCAACCCACGUAUUUAGUUGCUAACGGUUCGGCCGAGCACUCUAAAUAGACUGCCUUCGUAAGGAGGAGGAAGGUGUGGACGACGUCAAGUCAUCAUGGCCCUUAUGCCCAGGGCGACACACGUGCUACAAUGGCAUAUACAAUGAGACGCAAUACCGCGAGGUGGAGCAAAUCUAUAAAAUAUGUCCCAGUUCGGAUUGUUCUCUGCAACUCGAGAGCAUGAAGCCGGAAUCGCUAGUAAUCGUAGAUCAGCCAUGCUACGGUGAAUACGUUCCCGGGUCUUGUAC
rnacentral:rRNA from 1 species